UUCCUCAGUUUGUGCCGAGUCUUGAUGGC
rnacentral:sRNA from 1 species